rnacentral:rRNA from 1 species
AUUGAACGCUGGCGGCAUGCCUUACACAUGCAAGUCGAACGGCAGCGGGCCUUCGGGUGCCGGCGAGUGGCGAACGGGUGAGUAAUGCAUCGGAACGUGCCAUUGAGUGGGGGAUAACGUAGCGAAAGUUACGCUAAUACCGCAUAUUCUGUGAGCAGGAAAGCAGGGGAUCGCAAGACCUUGCGCUGAUGGAGCGGCCGAUAUCAGAUUAGCUAGUUGGUGAGGUAAAGGCUCACCAAGGCGACGAUCAGUAGCUGGUCUGAGAGGAUGAUCAGCCACACUGGGACUGAGACACGGCCCAGACUCCUACGGGAGGCAGCAGUGGGGAAUAUUGCACAAUGGGCGAAAGCCUGAUGCAGCAACGCCGCGUGAGCGAUGAAGGCC